UUUGGAUACGUGCGCCUAGUUGGGCCAUUUUUGGUAAGCAGAACUGGCGCUGCGGGAUGAACCGAACGUUGAGUUACGGCGCCCGACGAGACGCUCAUCAGAUCCCAUAAAAGGUGUUGGUUGCUAUAGACAGCAGGACGGUGGCCAUGGAAGUCGGAAUCCGCUAAGGAGUGUGUAACAACUCACCUGCCGAAGCAACUAGCCCUGAAAAUGGAUGGCGCUGUAGCGUCUGGCCUAUACUCGACCGUUACUGUAAUGGUGUGUAAAAGCAUCCAUUCCAUUCAGUCAUACAGUAACGAGUAGGAGGGCCGCGGCGGUAGCGUUGAAGGCGUACGGGCGUGAGCCUGGCUGGAGCUGCCGUCGGUGCAGAUCUUGGUGGUAGUAGCAAAUACUCAAGCGAGAACCUUGAGGACUGAAGUGGAGAAGGGUUCCAUGUGAACAGCAGUUGAACAUGGGUCAGUCGACCCUAAGGUAUCGGCGAAAGCCGUUCAGAAGCGGUGUGGAUAUGUAUACAGAAAUGUGUACAGGUUAUUGGGUUACCUGCUGGUUUGUGAAACGGGUUGGCUGGUAAAACGGUCGAUGCUGUCAUGGAUUAGUAGCCAAUAAUCACCGCACCUGCCGAAAGGGAAUCGGGUUAAUAUUCCCGAACCUGGCAUCGGAGACUGAAUGGCCUUCGGGUCAUUACAUGCGGUAACGCAAAUGAACUCAGAGACGCUGACACGUACCCUGGGAAGAGUUGUCUUUUCUUGAUAAGGAGCAAACUCCCUGGAAUCGGAUCAUCCGGCGAUAGGGAGAAAGCAUCCGUAAAGCACCGCGGUUCUUGCGGUGUCCGGUGCGUACGUGUCGGUCCUUGAAAAUCUGAGGGAGAGUGUGAUUUUCGUGCCAGAUCGUACCCAUAUCCCGGGCAGGUCUCCAAGGUGAACAACCUCUCGUCCAUUAAAGC
rnacentral:rRNA from 1 species